rnacentral:rRNA from 1 species
GAUGAACGCUAGCGGCAGGCUUAACACAUGCAAGUCGAGGGGCAGCGCGGGAUAGCAAUAUCCUGGCGGCGACCGGCGGAAGGGUGCGUAACGCGUGAGCGACAUGCCCGUUGCCCGGGGACAACCGGUGGAAACGCCGACUAAUCCCCGAUGGGAUAUUGUGCCGCAUGGCACGAUAUUGAAAGUUACGGCGGCGACGGAUUGGCUCGCGUCCGAUUAGCUUGUUGGCGGGGUAACGGCCCACCAAGGCUGCGAUCGGUAGGGGUUCUGAGAGGAAGGCCCCCCACAGUGGGACUGAGACACGGCCCAUACUCCUACGGGAGGCAGCAGUGAGGAAUAUUGGUCAAUGGGCGGAAGCCUGAACCAGCCAUGCCGCGUGCGGGAAGGAGGCCCUAUGGGCUGUGAACCGCUUUUGCCUGGGGGCAAUAAGGGCGUCGCGCACGUCCGAUGAGAGUACCAGGCGAAUAAGCAUCGGCUAACUCCGUG